GACGAACGCUGGCGGCGUGCCUAAUACAUGCAAGUAGAACGCUGAAGAGAGGAGCUUGCUCUUCUUGGAUGAGUUGCGAACGGGUGAGUAACGCGUAGGUAACCUGCCUCGUAGCGGGGGAUAACUAUUGGAAACGAUAGCUAAUACCGCAUAACAAUGGAUGACACAUGUCAUUUAUUUGAAAGGGGCAAUUGCUCCACUACAAGAUGGACCUGCGUUGUAUUAGCUAGUAGGUGAGGUAAUGGCUCACCUAGGCGACGAUACAUAGCCGACCUGAGAGGGUGAUCGGCCACACUGGGACUGGGACACGGCCCAGACUCCUACGGGAGGCAGCAGUAGGGAAUCUUCGGCAAUAGGGGCAACCCUGACCGAGCAACGCCGCGUGAGUGAAGAAGGUUUUCGGAUCGUAAAGCUCUGUUGUAAGUCAAGAACGGGUGUGAGAGUGGAAAGUUCACACUGUGACGGUAGCUUACCAGAAAGGGACGGCUAACUACGUG
rnacentral:rRNA from 1 species